AGAGUUUGAUCCUGGCUCAGAUUGAACGCUGGCGACGUGCUUAACACAUGCAAGUCGUGCGAGAAAGUAGACUUCGGUCUAUGAGUAGAGCGGCGCACGGGUGAGUAACGCGUGGAUGAUCUACCCUUGAGUUCGGGAUAACGGUGCGAAAGCGCCGCUAAUACCGUAUAACAAUCCAUUUCAUCGUGGGUUCAAAGCAGGCCUCUUCAUGAAAGCUUGCGCUUGGGGAUGAGUCCGCGUCCCAUUAGCUUGUUGGCGGGGUAACGGCCCACCAAGGCUACGAUGGGUAGCUGGUCUGAGAGGAUGAUCAGCCACACUGGAACUGAAACACGGUCCAGACUCCUACGGGAGGCAGCAGUGGGGAAUAUUGCGCAAUGGGGGAAACCCUGACGCAGCGACGUCGUGUGAGGGAAGAAGGCCUUCGGGUCGUAAACCUCUGUCAGAAGGGAAGAA
rnacentral:rRNA from 1 species